GUUACCAAACAGCCAAUAAGUUUCAGCUGCGCUAAAGGAAAUUCCGAGGCAAGUUUUGGCGAGUUUUGGUGAAUUUCGGGAAAGGUUCAAGAGACGACGAGGCGAGCAUAGUUAAGAGUAAUCCGUAAGAGGUACAGACGAUUGGUUUGCUGAUCCGCUCGCUUAGGACAUCCACCAUGUUGGUCGACAGUGCUCCUUUGUUCGGAGUCCU